rnacentral:rRNA from 1 species
GACGAACCGUGCGAACGUUGUUCGGAGUCACUGGGCUUAAAGGGCGCGUAGGCGGGUUCGCAAGUCCGGGGUGAAAUCUUUCAGCUUAACUGGAAAAGUGCCCCUGAUACUGCGAGUCUCGAGGGAGGUAGGGGCAUGUGGAACUUCCGGUGGAGCGGUGAAAUGCGUAGAUAUCGGAAGGAACGCCGGUGGCGAAAGCGACGUGCUGGACCUCUUCUGACGCUGAGGCGCGAAAGCUAGGGGAGCAAACGGG